rnacentral:rRNA from 1 species
GAUGAACGCUAGCGGCAGGCCUAAUACAUGCAAGUCGAACGGUGUCUUCGGACAUAGUGGCGCACGGGUGCGUAACACGUAUGCAACCUACCUUACAUUGGGGGAUAGCCUUUCGAAAGGGAGAUUAAUACCGCAUAAGACAGUAGCUGGGCAUCCAGCAGCUGUUAAAGAUUUAUCGAUGUAAGAUGGGCAUGCGUCCAAUUAGUUAGUUGGCGAGGUAACGGCUCACCAAGACUUUGAUUGGUAGGGGAACUGAGAGGUCAAUCCCCCACACUGGCACUGAGAUACGGGCCAGACUCCUACGGGAGGCAGCAGGAGGGAAUAUUGGGCAACGGACGCAAGUCUGACUCAGCCAUGCCGCGUGCAGGAUGAAGCGUUAUGCGUUGUAAACUGCUUUUAUACAGGAAGAAACGACUCUUGCGAGAGGCAUUGACGGUACUGUAUGAAUAAGCACCGGCUAACUCCGUGCCAGCCGCCGCCGUAAGAC